AUUUCACAGAAUCAUAAAAUUGGUCACUUAAUAUUGAUGCUGGGCCCGGGCGUGGUGGCUCACACCUGUAAUCCCAGCACUUUGAGAGGCCAAGGCUGAUCUUGAACUCCUGGCCUCAAGCAAUCCUGUCUCGGCCUCCCAAAGUGCUGGGAUCACAGGCUUGAGCCACUGCAUCCGGCCUCCCAUUCCUUAUACUACUUGAAAUUUUGGUAUUUUAGAAAAUGAAAAAUUGUGCACAUUUACUGCUGGGGUAGAUUCUUCUUUAGUGUAAUUUUCUUAUGACUCUCAUGAAUAAACUGAUCCUUUUUGUGAGUUGAGCUGUGGUAAAUAACAUCACAUUUUAGCAUGAGGGUUGCCACCUAUUAAUUCAAACAAGCCAGAGGUCAUAGAUCUACUUGGUGACUGGUGGAGCUGUGUGGAUCUGGUAACUUGGGAGCCAUUGUUCACUGCCUCUGCUGAUUUGUUGCCACAUUUUUCUCAUUCAUUCUGGACAUUGCAGUGGAGGGAGUCACCUCUACUUUUGACUCCUGUCCUUCAGCUUCUCCAUCUGCUCAUGCGCCCUCUUAACCAUGUGGCAUGCCACUUUCGUGGUGGCCUCCCCUCUUUAUUUGCUGUUGGAUGACCAGGGCCAUAAUCCUUUAUUCUCUGAUGCGGAAACUAUUCAAGGGAAGUGAGCAAACUGGGCCAAUGGUAGGAUGUCAUUGCCGAGUGCCAGGAUAUCCUGAUGCUUUGAAGGAAAACCACUGGAGAACUUGGAUGCUUUAUCAUGGUUUUGUCAAAAAUAUAGCUAUUGAGUGGCAGUCACUGUGCUAGGGAAUGGCCAUCACCUUUUUGUUAGGAAAUAAUGUUUUAUAUGCAUUUUCAAUUGAAGCAAACAUACCAAAUGGAAGAUAAUUAUAUAAAUUCACUUAUAUGAUCAACAUUUGUAAUAUCCUGUGCCUUACUUGGUAAAUGGCAAAUAAAGAUCUCUGGUGCACAUUUAAAAGAAUGCUCUUUUUUUUGGGCUCCUGAAGGUUGACCUGCUCUUUCUUUCUGAACUGCAAGUGCUACAUGAUAUUUCAAGUUUGCUGUCUCGUCAUAAGCAUCUAGCCAAGGAUCAUUCUCCUGAUUUAUAUUCACUGGAGCU
rnacentral:sRNA from 1 species